rnacentral:rRNA from 2 species
GAAGGUGGCCUGUGAGGGUUGCUGGAGGUAUCAGAAGUGCGAAUGCUGACAUAAGUAACGAUAAAGCGGGUGAAAAGCCCGCUCGCCGGAAGACCAAGGGUUCCUGUCCAACGUUAAUCGGGGCAGGGUGAGUCGACCCCUAAGGCGAGGCCGAAAGGCGUAGUCGAUGGGAAACGGGUUAAUAUUCCCGUACUUGGUGUUACUGCGAAGGGGGGACGGAGAAGGCUAUGUUGGCCGGGCGACGGUUGUCCCGGUUUAAGCGUGUAGGUGUGUGUUCCAGGUAAAUCCGGUUCACUUUAACACUGAGGCGUGAUGACGAGGCACUACGGUGCUGAAGCAACAAAUGCCCUGCUUCCAGGAAAAGCCUCUAAGCAUCAGGUAACAUCAAAUCGUACCCCAAACCGACACAGGUGGUCAGGUAGAGAAUACCAAGGCGCUUGAGAGAACUCGGGUGAAGGAACUAGGCAAAAUGGUGCCGUAACUUCGGGAGAAGGCACGCUGACACGUAGGUGAAGUGAUUUACUCACGGAGCUGAAGUCAGUCGAAGAUACCAGCUGGCUGCAACUGUUUAUUAAAAACACAGCACUGUGCAAACACGAAAGUGGACGUAUACGGUGUGACGCCUGCCCGGUGCCGGAAGGUUAAUUGAUGGGGUCAGCGCAAGCGAAGCUCCUGAUCGAAGCCCCGGUAAACGGCGGCCGUAACUAUAACGGUCCUAAGGUAGCGAAAUUCCUUGUCGGGUAAGUUCCGACCUGCACGAAUGGCGUAAUGAUGGCCAGGCUGUCUCCACCCGAGACUCAGUGAAAUUGAACUCGCUGUGAAGAUGCAGUGUACCCGCGGCAAGACGGAAAGACCCCGUGAACCUUUACUAUAGCUUGACACUGAACAUUGAGCCUUGAUGUGUAGGAUAGGUGGGAGGCUUUGAAGUGUGGACGCCAGUCUGCAUGGAGCCGACCUUGAAAUACCACCCUUUAAUGUUUGAUGUUCUAACGUGGACCCGUAAUCCGGGUUGCGGACAGUGUCUGGUGGGUAGUUUGACUGGGGCGGUCUCCUCCUAAAGAGUAACGGAGGAGCACGAAGGUUGGCUAAUCCUGGUCGGACAUCAGGAGGUUAGUGCAAUGGCAUAAGCCAGCUUGACUGCGAGCGUGACGGCGCGAGCAGGUGCGAAAGCAGGUCAUAGUGAUCCGGUGGUUCUGAAUGGAAGGGCCAUCGCUCAACGGAUAAAAGGUACUCCGGGGAUAACAGGCUGAUACCGCCCAAGAGUUCAUAUCGACGGCGGUGUUUGGCACCUCGAUGUCGGCUCAUCACAUCCUGGGGCUGAAGUAGGUCCCAAGGGUAUGGCUGUUCGCCAUUUAAAGUGGUACGCGAGCUGGGUUUAGAACGUCGUGAGACAGUUCGGUCCCUAUCUGCCGUGGGCGCUGGAGAACUGAGGGGGGCUGCUCCUAGUACGAGAGGACCGGAGUGGACGCAUCACUGGUGUUCGGGUUGUCAUGCCAAUGGCACUGCCCGGUAGCUAAAUGCGGAAGAGAUAAGUGCUGAAAGCAUCUAAGCACGAAACUUGCCCCGAGAUGAGUUCUCCCUGAGACUUAAAGUCUCCUGAAGGAACGUUGAAGACGACGACGUUGAUAGGCCGGGUGUGUAAGCGCAGCGAUGCGUUGAGCUAACCGGUACUAAUGAACCGUGAGGCUUAACCUUACAACGCCGAAG